rnacentral:misc_RNA from 1 species
GAUGAAGAACGCAGCGAAAUGCGAUAAGUAAUGUGAAUUGCAGAAUUCAGUGAAUCAUCGAAUCUUUGAACGCACAUUGCGCCCGCCAGUAUUCUGGCGGGCAUGCCUGUUCGAGCGUCAUUUCAACCAUCAAGCCCCCGGCUUGUGUUGGGGACCUGCGGCUGCCGCAGGCCCUGAAAAGCAGUGGCGGGCUCGCUGUCACACCGAGCGUAGUAGAUUUCAUCUCGCUCAGGGCGUGCUGCGGGUUCCGGCCGUUAAACCCCCUUCAUAACCCAAGGUUGACCUCGGAUCAGGUAGGAAGACCCGCUGAACUUAAGCAUAUCAAUAAGCGGAGGA